UACAGAGGUCUCAAGCGUUGUUCGGAUUCAUUGGGCGUAAAGGGUGCGUAGGUGGCCAGGUAAGUUCGGUGUGAAAGCUCGGAGCUUAACUCCGAAAUGUCAUUGAAUACUAUCUGGCUUGAGGGUCGGAGGGGAGACUGGAAUUCUCGGUGUAGCAGUGAAAUGCGUAGAUAUCGAGAGGAACACCAGUGGCGAAGGCGAGUCUCUGAACGACUCCUGACACUGAGGCACGAAAGCUAGGGGAGCAAACAGG
rnacentral:rRNA from 1 species